GGUAUUAUAUUUUAUAUAAGAAAAUUUAACUUGCAAUUAAAAAGAAAUAAUCUAAAUUAUUUAAUACCA
rnacentral:tRNA from 1 species